UAUUUUAAUUUAUAACUUUUAGUAUUAAAAUGAUAUUUUAAUAAACUAAAA
rnacentral:tRNA from 1 species